ACUACCUUUUAGUAUAAAUAGAUAGCCUUUCAACCCUAAUUCUCAUUCAUCAGUUUCACAACAUUUUCAAGUCAGAGACCCAAAAACGUCAAAUCAAAACACAGAGUCAUAAUGGGAUCUUUGGCUGAAACACAUAUCACUUAGGUUAAAAAUCUCCGACGAAGAAGCCAACCUCUUUGCUAUACAGCCCGCUGGUGCCACCGUGCUUUCAAUGGUUCUUACAUCUGCCCUAGAGCUUGACCUUCUCGAGAUCAUAUCCAAGAAUGUUGCUCUCCCUAGGGGUCAACUGUCUCCUCGGAUGUAGCUUCUUAUCUUCCGACCAAAAACCCUGAUACUCCAAUCAUGGUUCACCGGAUCCUUAGGUUGCUUGCGGCUUACUUCAUCUUGACCUGCUCUGUUCUUUAGCUUUCUGAUAGCGGCGUGGAGCGUCUGUACGGAUUUGGACCAGUAUGCAAAGUACCUCACUAAGAACAAAGAUGGAGUCGCACUCGAUGCACUCUUGUUUUUGGAAUGUCCAACUACACCAUCGUCAUGACCAAGAUUCUAGAGACAUGCAAAGGCUUUCAGGGAUUUUUUCGGUUGAUGUUGGUGCCUGGUGGUGGCAUUGAAGUCACUUUCCGUAAUCCGUAUGAUUGUCUAUGUUCCCUCAUGUCAUUGCGGAAGCUGUUUCUUAUCCCGGUAUUGAACACAUUGGGGGAGAUAUGUCUCUAAAUAUCCCUAAAGCAGAUGACAUCUUCAUGAAGUGGAAAAAUGUCAUGAUUGGAGCGACCAACACUGUUUAAAAUUUCCGAAAAACUGCUAUGGACUGCCUCAUGCUGGCUCACAACCCCGGAGGCAAAGAACGGACUGAAAAGGAGUAUGGAACAUUAGCCAGAGGUUCUGGCUUCCAAGUUGUCUGCAGAGCCUAUGGUACUCACAUCAUGGAGUUCCUCAAGAAGAUAUGAGCCUUUUAAGUACAAAUAUCCAUGGAACAUUUUCUUCUCGUUUUUCUUUUGCGUCCAAGUAUUUUUCUACAUUUCCAAUGUUAUCUUGUUCUGCAUGUGUUGUCUCUCUGGCUUGUGAGGCCACUAUCGUCGUUGUUUACUUGUUUAAGCUGUUUUGAUGUUAUUGGAAAAGCAUUUCUUUGUAAUUGUACUCCGAUUUUAAUGCAUAUGACUUAUGAAAGUGGAUUAAAAGUUUGUUU